rnacentral:rRNA from 1 species
CCUACGGGAGGCUGCAGUGAGGAAUAUUGGUCAAUGGACGAGAGUCUGAACCAGCCAAGUAGCGUGAAGGAUGACUGCCCUAUGGGUUGUAAACUUCUUUUAUAUGGGAAUAAAAUGUUCCACGUGUGGGAUUUUGUAUGUACCUUAUGAAUAAGGAUCGGCUAACUCCGUGCCAGCAGCCGCGGUAAUACGGAGGAUCCGAGCAUUAUCCGGAUUUAUUGGGUUUAAAGGGAGAGUAGGUGGAUUGUUAAGUCAGUUGUGAAAGUUUGCGGCUCAACCGUAAAAUUGCAGUUGAAACUGGCAGUCUUGAGUAGAGUAGAGGUGGGCGGAAUUCGUGGUGUAGCGGUGAAAGGCUUAGAUAUCACGAAGAAAUCCGAUUGCGAAGGCAGCUCACUGGACUGCAACUGACACUGAGGCUCGAAAGUGUGGGUAUCAAACAGGAUUAGAUACCCUUGUAGUC